GAUGAACGCUGGCGGCGUGCCUAAUACAUGCAAGUCGAGCGAACAGACGAGGAUCUUGCUCCUCUGACGUGAGCGGCGGACGGGUGAGUAACACGUGGAUAACCUACCUAUAAGACUGGUAUCACUUCGGGAAACCGGAGCUAAUACCGGAUAAUAUAUUGAACCGCAUGGUUCAAUAGUGAAAGACGGUUUUGGCGUCGCUUAUAGAGGGAUCCGCGCCGCAUUAGCGAGUUGGUGAGGUAGCGGCUUACCAAGGCGACGACGGGUAGCCGGCCUGAUAGGGUGACCGGCCACAGUGGGACGGAGAGACGGCCCAGACGCCUACGGGAGGCAGCAGGGGGGAAUAUUGCACAAUGGGCGGAAGCCUGAUGCAGCAACGCCGCGUGCGGGAUGACGGCCGUCGGGUUGUAAACCGCUGUCGCCGGUGACGAAGCGUGAGUGACGGUAAUGGGUAAAGAAGCACCGGCUAGCUACGUG
rnacentral:rRNA from 1 species